UACGGAGAGUGCAAGCAUUAAUCGGAAUUAUUGGGCGUAAAGGGCGCGUAGGCGGGAAGACAAGUCAGAUGUGAAAUUCCGAAGCUCAACUUCGGAGCUGCAUUUGAAACUAUGUUCCUAGAGGAUUGACGGAGAAAACGGAAUUCCACGUGUAGCGGUGAAAUGCGUAGAUAUGUGGAAGAACACCUGUGGCGAAAGCGGUUUUCUAGUUAAUACCUGACGCUGAGGCGCGAGAGCAAGGGGAG
rnacentral:rRNA from 1 species